rfam:Gorilla gorilla gorilla genomic chromosome, chr13, whole genome shotgun sequence
UCUUAGGUUGGUGUAAAAGUAAUUGCGGAUUUUGCCAUUAAAAGUAAUGGCAAAAACUGCAAUUACUUUUGCACCAACCUAGUA